rnacentral:siRNA from 1 species
CACCAAACGCUGACUUCAGUUAGU